rnacentral:rRNA from 1 species
GUGAAUCAUCGAAUCUUUGAACGCACAUUGCGCCCUCUGGUAUUCCGGAGGGCAUGCCUGUUCGAGCGUCAUUACAACCCUCAAGCCCUGGCUUAGUGUUGGGCCUCCGUCCACUGGACGGGCCUGAAAAUCAGUGGCAAUGCCCUUCCAGCUUCAAGCGUAGUAGAUCUAUCUCCGUCUUGAGCAGUUGGAUGGUGCUGUUCGCCAAAAACCAAAAAAAACCUCUGGUUUUUAUCUUUCUGGUUGACCUGUCGGAUCAGGUAGGAAUACCCGCUGAACUUAAGCAUAUCAAUAAGCGGAGG